AGAAACUUAGGUUAAUAGAACUAAACCAGAGACCUUCAAAGUCUCAAACAGGAGCCUCUCCUAGUUUCUG
rnacentral:tRNA from 1 species